UGGUAGGCAUGGUUUUAUGCCUUGUCUCCAUUGCACAUGCCGCACAAGGGACUGCCGUUUGGUACAAACCUCCUUAUACGCCAUCAAAGUGCUUUGGGAAUCAAAAUAAUGGAGCAAUGGUUGCUGGUGUAAGUGAUAAACUGUGGAAUAAUGGAGCAGCAUGUGGAAAAAUGUAUAGAGUGAGAUGCAUAGAAGGGGCAAACCUUGCACCCCACCCUUGCAAACAAGGUACCAGCGUUGUAGUUAAAAUUGUCGAUUAUU
rnacentral:misc_RNA from 1 species